rnacentral:misc_RNA from 1 species
GACGCCAGAUUUUUUACAUGCCCUACGUCUUAACUUAACAUUUAAAAAUUGACUAUGAAUCUUUAAAACAUUAAUUAAUACAGUGAUUUUAAAAACAUGUCUGAUAUAAAUGAGCUGUUGAUGAAAAAAAAUCCCUUAUUGAAAGAUGUAAUAUGGGAAGUAAGAAACACAAAAUAUGCAGGUCAAGGGUUGUUUGCAAAAAGAAAUGUUGAAAAUGGUGAAAUAAUAUUCAAAGAAGUUCCUAUCGUUGUGGGGCCCAGAAUGACAGGACUGCAGCUUACAGCUUGUAUCGUUUGUUGUAGCGUCAAAAAGCCACUGAGAAAAUGUUUUAAAAACUGUCAUUUACCUGUAUGCAGUUCAGAAUGUGAAAACUCCCCUGAGCAUGACAAAGAAUGCAAAGUUUUAAGACAAAUAUUAAUAAAUGAUGAUUUGUGGUCAUUAAAACUUUAUCAUAUUUUGACUCAAUUGCGUUGUUUAUUGGUAGAAGAAGAAGACCGUGAAAUAAUCAAAAAAUUGCAUGCCAACUCUAAAGAAUCUGUUCGCAAAGAGAUCUAUAAAAUAAAGGAAAUUGUUGGCGAUUUUCUCAGUGAGAGUGAUGAAGAGUGGAUUGAACAUUGCUGUGGGGUCUUAAAUAGCACAGCUUAUGAAAUAACGUUUGGUGCAGAUACCCCUUUGAGCUUAAGAGGGCUUUAUCCUUUGGCAGCAAUCAUGAACCAUGAUUGUUCCCCAAACACAAGGCAUUUUUACUCAAAAGAAGAUCCAUUUAUGAUGAUAGUGGUUGCAACAAAACGAAUAGCACAAGGUGAAGAGAUAACGAAUACAUACUGUCCUCUUUUAUGGGCUACAAACAGCAGGCGAGUUUUCCUGCAUAUGACAAAAGAAUUUCUUUGCAGAUGUUUAAGAUGUCAAGAUCCAACAGAAUUUGGAAGUUAUUUGUCUGCUUUUUGGUGUAAAUGUGGUGGUACAUAUUUGCCUAUAUUACCACUUAACUUUCACUCAAAAUGGAAAUGUGAUAAAUGCAAUAGCCUGCUAAAUCCAUUAGAAGUUUCACAAAUACAGUCAAAUAUUAAAAAACUUUCUGUUGAACAAAUGGAAUCUAUUUUACACCCAAACAAUACCAUUGUUGCUCAGUUUAAAAUGGAGGCAAUACGAUCACUAGGUGAAAGGAUUGAGGGAACCUUGGAACAACCUUAAGACUGCAUCUCGUCAAGACAGCAUGCAGUUAAGCAUUAUGAUUUAAUUCAACAUUCCUGAAUUAGCAACUGAAGAGUUGAUUAAAAAAGAAAAAUACGAGAGGGAAUUGAUGAUCAUAAAUGAUAAAUUGAUGCUAGGAGACACAAGAA